AUGCAGGGCUGGGUUGCUACAGAAGAACAGCAGGGCUGGGAGCUCCUCAGACUUGGUACUGAAACACUGGGAGUGGGCUUUGACAAUCUAAUAAGCCUUCUGGAGGAUUCUGACUCUGGAGCUACUAUGGAGAGGAAGAGCAUGCUUUGAUCAGAACCUGGACAGGAGCCUGUGGGCUUUACAGUGGCCUCCAGCUAAUGAGGGAGUGGUGACCUACAUCUUUCAGACUCGAGAUGCAGCUCAGUCUGACUGGAGAUCACGUGGAUUCUACAGAGCAGGAGCUGGGGAGGUAUCUGGGAGCCAGGGUCAGUAGGAAGACAAGGCUACGAUAUGCUGCCAAGGAGGACAACUCUUCCUGGUCAUAACAAACUGCCUUUGAUGCUCCUUCAACUAAGGCUCAACACUGUUCUCACUUCUCACACUGUGUCACGGCUCUUGUGGACUAAGGAGAAACAGGUCAGAGUUGGUUCUCAAGGAACCAAGCUGUCUGGUUAGAACUACCUGCCACUGAUAACUACAACUGUGUAAACUCAGUUAGCAAAGUAGAGCUCUGAAUUCAUGCUAGAAUCUUUGUCUCAACUGCAUUUCUAGCCACUGAAAGAUCAGAAAACCCAUGUGUAUUCCCUGCCCAUGCAGCCCCGGCAGUGGCUUUGAACCUGUGUCCUACCAAGGUGUCAACUGUCUUGUCUUGAGUAGAUGACCACAUCCUACUCCUCUCCCUCUGUCACCGUCAUACUCAUGGAUAAGAAGAGCUACAAGGCAACACUGCUGGUUAAUUAGCCAGUGCAGGAGUGUGCAGGACACACAGUCCUGGGCGAGGGAAAGAGAGGAUGUAGGGAAAGGUCAAAGGUAUCAAUUUAGCACUUUGGUUCUUUCUGUCAGCUUCUUUAGAACCAUCACAGGUCCACCACCUCCACCACCUCACAGAAGCUGAGAAAACGGAACAGAAAGGUGACUAUAAUGCUUUACUAAAAAAUGAUGUCACAAGGAGCCCAAAGCAAGGGAUUUAAAAAUGUCAAGAAUCCCCAAAAGUAUGUAAAGUGUUUACGGCUGGCUCACAAGCACAAGUGUGCUGUCAAGAUCAAGGAAGGACUCGACAACAUCUUCUCAUUAGACUGCACUGCCACUGAGGACAGACUGAAGAUUCAGGCUGUCAGCAUCCCUGAGACCACACUUCUCAUGCUACAUUUUUUACUUGAGAAUUUUAAAAUUAAAACACAGUAAAACCUCAUUCAUAUGCUCAUCUAUGCCAUUCAACAACCUGCACUUGAUAAUCAAUGAGCAGAAGCAGGUUUGUAAUUUAAGAACUAAAAUAUGGUAACAUUUAUAAACAUAUACCCCUAUCAGAACAAUCACUUGCCAAGUUAGAGUGAGGUUUUAUUGUGUAUAUAAACAAACAGACAAAGAACAUAAAACAUAUAAAGGACACUGCUGGAUGACUGCAGUGUUUCUGGGAACCUGAGUGCUCUGGCACACAGAUGACACUCACCACUGCCAGCACUCCCCUCUCGUUUGCUGCGAGAACCCCCGCUGCUGUCUCUGCCCGAUUUUAUGCGCUACAGCAAGAAAUAAGAAGAUAAGUAGAGGAGAGUAAGUGACAUCCUUUCAGAAUAUACAGCCAAAGACAGUAAAUUCAAAGCCAGCAUUACCACAUGUCCCUCAGGACCACAUCAUCACGAGCUGAUUCAACAUGAAAAGGGACAGAAUCCUUUUGAAAGUGUGACCACCUGGAACUUACAGAGCACACAUCGGCAUUCCACUCAAAAACCACCACCUUUGCACAGCCAAUCAAUUAAGAAGUCAAACACCAUUUUCUUGAUGAGAAGGAUCAGGACUCAAACAUAAUAUGAGUUUGAGAAAAGUAAGUGGAAGAGGAAAAAAAUCAUGUAUGUGCCAAAGGGCAUUUCUUCCCCUAUCCGUACUGUGUAAUAGUUUGUCUCAGACCAUUGGAGGGUUUAAAAAGGGCAAUGGCUUUUGACAUUAAACUUCUAAAAAGCAUCAUUAAAAUCUCACAUAU
ensembl:antisense Ift88os intraflagellar transport 88, opposite strand